UUUCCGUAGGUGAACCUGCGGAAGGAUCAUUAUCGAGUUGAAGCCAUUUUAAUCGAUGGCCGAUACACACAAUUCCCUGCGAAACGUUGAUUGUUCUUACAACAACCAAACCUAUUUAACCACACACAAACAAGCUGAUCAUGUAAUCUACGAUGCAAUCAAAUAAAAAUCACAAUCGUGACAACUUUUAACAACGGAUAUCUUGGCUCUC
rnacentral:misc_RNA from 1 species